rnacentral:pre_miRNA from 1 species
AGUAGAAUUACUGACUCAGAUGAUAUGUUAGUCUUUUAGAGAACUCCCAGAAUGUUUUCCAAAGCAGCUGCACCAUAUUAUAUUCCCACCAUCAGU